AAACUGCGAUAAGUAGUGUGAAUUGCAUUUAGUGAAUCAUCGAAUCUUUGAACGCACCUUGCACUCACUGGUAUUCCGGUGAGUACGCCUGUUUCAGUAUCAUUGAAAACACACAAUCAAAACAUUUUCUUUGGUUUGAUUGGCUUUGGGUCUAUCAAAAAGUUUGGCUUGUUUCUUACAAGCCAAGCGGCCUGAAAUAUAUUGUCUGACUAAUUGCAUCGUUGAUGAUCGCUAUUAGACUUUGGCUUUUUUAAAUGAACUGGAGGUUGAUUAACCAGUUUUAGCUUUAGUCAAAUGGUCAUUGUAAAAAAAAUCUCGAUCUUGGCUAGGUGUUUAUAGCCGAAAAUUUUUUUUUGGCUAUAACCGAAACCAAUAUAAUCACAUUUAGUUAUCGAUCUGAAAUCAGGUGGGACUACCCGCUGAACUUAAGC
rnacentral:misc_RNA from 1 species